UCUCGUGACUGCGUGCCUUUUGAAGAAUGAGCCUGCGAGUUUGCGGUGUGUUGCGAGGUUAACCCGGGUGGGGUAGCCGUAGCGAAAGCGAGUCCGAACAGGGCGUUUUAGUAGCACGCUCAAGACCCGAAGCGGAGUGAUCUAGCCAUGGGCAGGUUGAAGCGGAGGUAAGACUUCGUGGAGGACCGAACCCACCAGGGUUGAAAACCUGGGGGAUGACCUGUGGUUAGGGGUGAAAGGCCAAUCAAACUCCGUGAUAGCUGGUUCUCCCCGAAAUGCAUUUAGGUGCAGCGUCGUGUGUUUCUUGCCGGAGGUAGAGCACUGGAUAGGCGAUGGGCCCUACCGGGUUACUGACCUUAGCCAAACUCCGAAUGCCGGUAAGUGAGAGCGCGGCAGUGAGACUGUGGGGGAUAAGCUCCAUGGUCGAGAGGGAAACAGCCCAGAGCAUCGACUAAGGCCCCUAAGCGUACGCUAAGUGGGAAAGGAUGUGGAGUCGCAGAGACAACCAGGAGGUUGGCUUAGAAGCAGCCACCCUUGAAAGAGUGCGUAAUAGCUCACUGGUCUAGUGAUUCCGCGCCGACAAUGUAGCGGGGCUCAAGCGUACCGCCGAAGUCGUGUCAUUGCAGCAUAUACGCCCAACGGCGGCUGUGAUGGGUAGGGGAGCGUCGUCUGCCGGGUGAAGCAGCACCGGAAGGUAGUUGUGGACGGUUGACGAGUGAGAAUGCAGGCAUGAGUAGCGAUUCACACGUGAGAAACGUGUGCGCCGAUUGACUAAGGGUUCCUGGGUCAAGCUGAUCUGCCCAGGGUAAGUCGGGACCUAAGGCGAGGCCGACAGGCGUAGUCGAUGGAUAACCGGUUGAUAUUCCGGUACCCGCUGUGAAGCGUCAAACAUCGAGCAUCGUGAUGCUAAGGCCGUGAAGCCGCCCUGAUCUCUUCGGAGUUGAGGGGAGUGGUGGAGCCGCCGGCCCAAGCGGUUAGUAGGUGAGUGAUGGGGUGACGCAGGAAGGUAGUCCAUCCCGGGCGGUGGUUGUCCCGGGGUAAGGGUGUAGGCCGCAAGGUAGGUAAAUCCGCCUUGCAUCCGGCUGAGACCUGAUGCCGAGCCGAUUGUGGUGAAGUGGAUGAUCCUAUGCUGUCGAGAAAAGCCUCUAGCGAGUUUCAUGGCGGCCCGUACCCUAAACCGACUCAGGUGGUCAGGUAGAGAAUACCGAGGCGUUCGGGUGAACUAUGGUUAAGGAACUCGGCAAAAUGCCCCCGUAACUUCGGGAGAAGGGGGGCCACACCUGGUGAGAGCACUUGCUGUUCGAGCUGGGGGUGGCCGCAGAGACCAGCGAGAAGCGACUGUUUACUAAAAACACAGGUCCGUGCGAAGCCGUAAGGCGAUGUAUACGGACUGACGCCUGCCCGGUGCUGGAACGUUAAGGGGACCGGUUAGCUCCAUUUCGGUGGGGCGAAGCUGAGAACUUAAGCGCCAGUAAACGGCGGUGGUAACUAUAACCAUCCUAAGGUAGCGAAAUUCCUUGUCGGGUAAGUUCCGACCUGCACGAAUGGCGUAACGACUUCUCGACUGUCUCAACCAUAGGCCCGGUGAAAUUGCACUACGAGUAAAGAUGCUCGUUUCGCGCAGCAGGACGGAAAGACCCCGGGACCUUUACUACAGUUUGAUAUUGGUGUUCGGUUCGGCUUGUGUAGGAUAGCUGGGAGACUUUGAAGCAUGCACGCCAGUGUGUGUGGAGUCGUCGUUGAAAUACCAGUCUGGUCGUGCUGGAUGUCUAACCUGGGUCCGUGAUCCGGAUCAGGGACAGUGUCUGAUGGGUAGUUUAACUGGGGCGGUUGCCUCCUAAAGGGUAACGGAGGCGCCCAAAGGUUCCCUCAGCCUGGUUGGCAAUCAGGUGUUGAGUGUAAGUGCACAAGGGAGCUUGACUGUGAGACCGACGGGUCGAGCAGGGACGAAAGUCGGGACUAGUGAUCCGGCGGUGGCUUGUGGAAGCGCCGUCGCUCAACGGAUAAAAGGUACCCCGGGGAUAACAGGCUGAUCUUCCCCAAGAGUCCAUAUCGACGGGAUGGUUUGGCACCUCGAUGUCGGCUCGUCGCAUCCUGGGGCUGGAGUCGGUCCCAAGGGUUGGGCUGUUCGCCCAUUAAAGCGGUACGCGAGCUGGGUUUAGAACGUCGUGAGACAGUUCGGUCCCUAUCCGCUGUGCGCGUAGGAGUCUUGAGAAGGGCUGUCCCUAGUACGAGAGGACCGGGACGGACGAACCUCUGGUGUGCCAGUUGUUCUGCCAAGGGCAUGGCUGGUUGGCUACGUUCGGGAGGGAUAACCGCUGAAAGCAUCUAAGCGGGAAGCCUGCUUCGAGAUGAGGACUCCCACCCACUUGAUGGGGUAAGGCUCCCAGUAGACGACUGGGUUGAUAGGCCGGAUCUGGAAGCACGGUAACGUGUGGAGGUGACCGGUACUAAUAGGCCGAGGGCUUGUCCUC
rnacentral:rRNA from 1 species